rnacentral:rRNA from 1 species
GACGAACGCUGGCGGCGUGCUUAACACAUGCAAGUCGAACGGAAAGGCCCUGCUUUUGUGGGGUGCUCGAGUGGCGAACGGGUGAGUAACACGUGAGUAACCUGCCCUUGACUUUAGGAUAACUUCAGGAAACUGGGGCUAAUACCGGAUAGGAGCUCCUGCUGCAUGGUGGGGGUUGGAAAGUUUCGGCGGUUGGGGAUGGACUCGCGGCUUAUCAGCUUGUUGGUGGGGUAGUGGCUUACCAAGGCUUUGACGGGUAGCCGGCCUGAGAGGGUGACCGGCCACAUUGGGACUGAGAUACGGCCCAGACUCCUACGGGAGGCAGCAGUGGGGAAUAUUGCACAAUGGGCGGAAGCCUGAUGCAGCAACGCCGCGUGCGGGAUGACGGCCUUCGGGUUGUAAACCGCUUUCGCCUGCGACGAAGCGUGAGUGACGGUAAUGGGUAAAGAAGCACCGGCUAACUACGUG